GUAAUAGUAACUUAAUAUAGAGUGUUGGUCUUGUAAGCCAAAAGUGGAUUAAAAGUAUGUAUCCCUAUUACU
rnacentral:tRNA from 1 species